rnacentral:rRNA from 1 species
GUCCUAAACAAUAAGCUAAAGACAACUGAAGCUUAAACAACAAAACCAGUCCGGAGACAACGGACUUA